GAUGAACGCUGGCGGCGUGCCUAAUACAUGCAAGUCGAGCGAACAGACGAGGAGCUUGCUCCUCUGACGUUAGCGGCGGACGGGUGAGUAACACGUGGAUAACCUACCUAUAAGACUGGGAUAACUUCGGGAAACCGGAGCUAAUACCGGAUAAUAUAUUGAACCGCAUGGUUCAAUAGUGAAAGACGGUUUUGCUGUCACUUAUAGAUGGAUCCGCGCCGCAUUAGCUAGUUGGUAAGGUAACGGCUUACCAAGGCAACGAUGCGUAGCCGACCUGAGAGGGUGAUCGGCCACACUGUAACUGAGACACGGUCCAGACUCCUACGGGAGGCAGCAGUAGGGAAUCUUCCGCAAUGGGCGAAAGCUUGACGGAGCAACGCCGCGUGAGUGAUGAAGGUCUUCGGAUCGUAAAACUCUGUUAUUAGGGAAGAACAAAUGUGUAAGUAACUAUGCACGUCUUGACGGUACCUAAUCAGAAAGCCACGGCUAACUACGUG
rnacentral:rRNA from 1 species